UCUAGAGAUUGGAAGUAAAAGUCGUAACAAGGUUUCCGUAGGUGAACCUGCGGAAGGAUCAUUAUUGAAUUCUGAGGAGGAAGACCGAGAGGUGGAGACUGUUGCUGGCCCUCCCUGGGGCAUGUGCACGUCUUCCUUUUCGUCGACCUUUCUCACACACAACACACCUGUGCACCUGUUGUAGGUCCUCGAAAGAGGAUCUAUGUUUUUCACAUCACACAUCAUCGUAUGUCUAUAGAAUGUAUUGAAGACUGUCUGAUGAUGGUCGAUAAUAAAUUAUACAACUUUCAGCAACGGAUCUCUUGGCUCUCGCAUCGAUGAAGAACGCAGCGAAUUGCGAUAAGUAAUGUGAAUUGCAGAUUUUCAGUGAAUCAUCGAAUCUUUGAACGCACCUUGCGCUCCUUGGUAUUCCGAGGAGCAUGCCUGUUUGAGUGUCAUUUGAAUUUCUCAAACCCAUGUCUUUUUUUUUUAAUAUAGGGCAUGGGCUUUGGAGUUUGGGGGCUGCUGGUGGCAAAAAGCUGUCAGCUCUCCUGAAAUGCAUUAGCAAAGGACGGCGAGUCUUUGACGUGCACGGCCUUCGACGUGAUAAUGAUCGUCGUGGCUGGAGCGUCAGACAUGCAUGAAUCGUCUGUGCUGCUUCUAAUCUCCCUAGGCUAGCCUUGGGUUGGUCACUUAGCUACUAGUCGGUCAUGAGGCUGAUGAACGUUGAGUGGGCCAAGCUAGGCUAAUGUCUCUAUUCGAAACUUGACCUCACAUCAGGUAGGACUACCCGC
rnacentral:rRNA from 1 species